CCGUAAUUUAAACAUUUUUAAUUGAAAUUAUCUAUGAUGUAAGAUCAACAUUUUAGUAUGGGCUUUUAAGUUUGCAUUUUAAUUCUGGGUCGUUUGGUGUGAGUUAUUUAAUUUAGGGUUUAAAGAUAGGUUGGAGUUGGAUAAUUUUUCACAAACUUAUUCAUUAAUUACAUUUGUUUAGAAAUUUAAAAUAUAGAUUUCAUAGUUACCACAUUUUUAUUUAAUUUUUAGGUGAACAAAGACUCUUCAUUAUCUGGUAUUGAUUCCAUGACUGAUAAUUUUGAAAGUACCAGUCUAGAUUCAGACUCUUUUACCUAUUUCAAAAGUAAAAACACAACUAGAAUUGAGGAGUAUUUUCAUCCAAGAGUCUUUGGACAGCAUUCUGGGGAACUACUUCUGAAUCUACACGAAUUAACAAAGAAAUGUGAUACUAGUAUCUCAAUUGUUUGUAAAACAAUUAAAAGGUCUUUCCUGUAAAAGUGAUGUUUUCGUAAUGUACUUUGUACGACCUUUCGUUUGAUAUACGACAAGCAUACCUUCUGAAACUUUUCACUUUUUACACUUAAUAACCUCAUCAGCCUACAUUUUUGAGAUCGGAAGUAUGAUGUAUGUAACACAGUAUAGAUGAGCUUUAAUUUGAUAUGCGACAACGCCAUGUUCUAGAAAGUUUGAUUUUUGCACUUAAUAACCCCAUCCAACAAAUUUUUGGAGGUCGGGAAUUUGAUAUUUCAAAUGUACACAUCAUGACCUUUUAUUUGAUAAACAACAACCCAAUCGUAAAAGAUUUAUUUU
rnacentral:lncRNA from 1 species